CAAUCAACGAAGGAUUCCAUGAGAUCUGAUUGUAAAGCUUGACCGAUUUCCUUUUCCUAAUUAGGAAUCAAAUCAUGUAAAAAACCAGAAAAUAAAAAUUUGACUUCCUAUCUCAGAAAAUCAAAACCUUGUGCUGCCCGCCAACGGCUGACAGACCAGAAAACCAAACCACGAGCUCCUUCCAAAUGACAAAAAUAUCCCCACCGAUUACCCGCUCACCUUCAUGCUCUUGUCAAUUCACGCAGGAAAAAAAGGGUAUUUUCGUCUUUUCGUAAGUCGGUCACACAUCUUGAGAACAAAUAUAUAUAUAUAUAUAUUUGCAGACGCUCUCGAGAAUCGCACGAGGUUUUAGAAGAGUCCAAGACAGUGAUCCCUUGACUUUCACAGAGGAAAUUGCGAGGAGGAGGAUAAUACAUUGUUACUCGAUCAAGAAAUCCGUCCUAUCAGACUCCGAUUUUGGCUUCUUUUAUAAAUCUUUUAGGCUUUAGGGAUUUCGGCUGGUUCAGCAAUGGCGAAAGCGAGGUACCCUCGGUUUCAAGGGAAGAAGUUCUCGACAUGGACUCUGGUUUUGUCAAUGUUGUUUGUGUUAACAGUUGUUAUCUUCAUGCUUUUGGCUCUCGGAAUUUACUCUCUCCCUAUGAGCAGCGAUGACUCAACGCCCAACGAACUUACUUCCUUUAGGCGUAUGGCCGUUGAAAGAGAUGAGGGGAUGGGAAGCAGAGGAGAGCAAUGGACGGAAGUGAUUUCCUGGGAGCCCAGAGCUUUCCUUUAUCAUAAUUUCUUGUCCAAGGAAGAGUGUGAGUACUUAAUAAAGCUUGCAAAACCUUAUAUGAAAAAAUCAACUGUAGUGGAUAACGAAACUGGUCAGAGUAAAGAUAGCAGGGUUCGUACAAGCUCUGGUAUGUUUUUUACGAGAGGAAGAGAUAAGGUUGUAAGGAACAUUGAAAAAAGGAUUGCAGAUUUCGGUUUUAUUCCUGUAGAGCAUGGAGAAGGACUUCAAAUUCUCCACUAUGAAGUUGGUCAGAAGUAUGAACCACAUUUUGAUUACUUCCUGGACAAUUUCAAUGUCAAACAUGGAGGUCAACGGACUGCCACCAUGCUUAUGUAUCUGUCGGAUGUGGAAGAAGGGGGUGAAACAGUUUUUCCUGUUGCCAAUGUAAAUAUCAGUUCUGUACCAUGGUGGAAUGAAUUGUCUGAAUGUGGUAAAAGAGGGCUUGCUUUGAAGCCAAAAAUGGGCAAUGCUUUGCUCUUCUGGAGCACGAGGCCUGAUGCCACAGUUGAUCCAUCAAGCCUGCAUGGUAGUUGCCCUGUUAUUAAAGGGAACAAAUGGUCAGCUACAAAGUGGAUGCAUAUCAAUGAGUACGGGGUGUAGCUGUGAUGAUAAUGUGUACAGAUGCAACCUACCUCAACAACUACUAAAACUCUCGAAGUGUGUAGGUGGAUAACUGAGUAAAAAAGAGUUUGUGGUGAUUUGGAUAGAAAAGCAAUAUAGGAUAUGGAAUCAUGGAAGGCUAAUCCAACACCUGGUAUAGGCAAACACCGAUAUUCUCACUUCUGUCCUUGCUUCUGCCUGAAUUCCUUUUCUUGUCACGUAUGGUGGUUCUUGAUGGGUUUUUGUAGGUCCAAUUUCUACUGGAUGCAUGUGAAUAGAACCCUCCUAUAAGUCUAUUAGGAUUGACUUUGUAUCAAUGAGAUCUCAUAAUUUAUGCAUUACGAGUAGUUUGGUAUAUUCAUGUCAUAAUAUUAAAUCAGCAAAAUUUAUUUUUUAAAAAAACAUAUGAUCAGCAACAUAUAGCAUUCUUGUUAAGAACUAAAACUUGUACAAAGAAAGUGGAUUUGUGGGUGGAAUCAGUAUUUACAAACAAAAGUAUUUGGUUAUUGGAGAAUCACUUUCGCCUCUUUUUCGACCCUCUUUUUAGUAAUCCGAUUUACUUAGAACUAUUCUCCAGCUAAAUGCAUUUCUGGAUACUACAUUGAUUUAUUUCUAUGUGCAGGAUACAAGAAUACAGGACAAAGGAAAGUGGAGGAGGGAAAAAAAAGAUGCUCAGAAAAAGAAAAACGUUCGACUAUUCAACUGCCAAUUUCAAAUGAGAUGCUGUGCAGUACCUGAUGUGUGCGGCCAGUUUCCAGUCUCCACUCAACCAGUGCAGAACCACCCCCAGCAAGUAUUUCAAUUACUUUGUACCUGAAAGAGGUUCAACCAAAUUUGAAACACAUGCAACAUAAUCCAACUAGUCACCACCUUCUAUGGACCCUACAUGCCAAUUGUGAAAAAACAGCAAGAUAAAUAGAAUUAUUUAUCAUAACCAAGGUUUGACUGUAGUUCCCUUGGGCUCUUCAA